rnacentral:rRNA from 1 species
CAUUACCGAGUUUUCAACUCCCAAACCCUUUUGUGAACAUACCUAUCGUUGCUUCGGCGGACUCGCCCCAGCGUCCGGCCGGCCCCGCGCCGGCCGCGGCCUGGAUCCAGGCGGCCGCCGGAGACCCCCAAACUCUGUAUUCUCAGUAUCUUCUGAAUCCGCCGCAAGGCAAAACAAAUGAAUCAAAACUUUCAACAACGGAUCUCUUGGUUCUGGCAUCGAUGAAGAACGCAGCGAAAUGCGAUAAGUAAUGUGAAUUGCAGAAUUCAGUGAAUCAUCGAAUCUUUGAACGCACAUUGCGCCCGCCAGCAUUCUGGCGGGCAUGCCUGUUCGAGCGUCAUUUCAACCCUCGACUUCCCUUUGGGGAAAUCGGCGUUGGGGACCGGCCGUAUACCGCCGGCCCCGAAAUGAAGUGGCGGCCCGUCCGCGGCGACCUCUGCGUAGUAAUCCAACUCGCACCGGAACCCCGACGUGGCCACGCCGUAAAACCCCCGACUUCUGAACGUUGACCUCGGAUCAGGUAGGAAUACCCGCUGAACUUAAGCAUAUCAAUAA